ACAUGAUACAUAGAAUAAUAUAUUGCAUGAUAUUGUGCGGUUCAUACAAUGAGAACUAGUGCAUGCAAUGCUAGAAUGAUUAUUAUUGCAAAACUAGCUAGACUACUCCAUUUCAACCCUACACUAAAGGCAUCCAAACCCAAAUGAUUUUCUCGUCUAUUAUUCCCUGCUUUAAUAGCUUAACUUCAAGCAACAAGAUCGUUGCACAUGUGAUAAAGUAAAGAUG
rnacentral:lncRNA from 1 species